UACUAUCCAGCGAAACCACAGACAAGGGACUGGAUUUGGCAGGCAAAAACAAACAACGUAAAAGGAGAUGAUAAUUUUUUGCUUCCUUCUUUUGACACUCCUCUUGUUACCACGUAGACUCUCAUCCUCAGAAGCAAUUCUGCUCUGGUACUAGAGCUUACCACUCCCUCUUAGUAAUUCCAAUUUGAAAUUUAUUAAUGAUUAGUAAUGCCCAGUUCUCUAUACAGCUAAUGAAAUCCUGCAGCAUUAUAAACAUAAUUCCUGGACAAGAUUUUUUUCACUCAUUCAUUCAUUCAUUGGUUCUUUAACUCAGCAUAUAGUUAUUGAGCGCUCCAUUUAAGAGAUUGUGUUAAGUGAGCAAGCAGUAUAAUUACUAAAAGGUAAUUCCAACUGAUUAUUUGGUAUUGGAGCCAAACUACCACCCCAGCAUAGAGGAAAGCCGCUUUUUUCUAAUGCAUAAAUUUUAAAUAUGUAUUUGCAUGCAGUUUUAAAUUGGAGGUAUUUGUAAAAAAAAGCUGGGAGUCUCGAGCAUAGACAACUUCAGCUAAAGAGAAACUAAUAGUAAUGGUGUCAGGCCAGUGCUCAGUUUUCUGCCUUUGUCACACUUACUUUAAAAGUCAGAGAAAAGUGUAGAGUGUAUUUUUAAAGAAAAUCCUAAAACUCUAAAUUUAUAUAUCUAUUGUGAUGAAUCAUCCUGCAAAGUUGUAUAAAGAAUUUCACCAAAAAUACAAUGGAUAAUAUAUUUGAGAUUCACAGUGGUAGGUUUGAUUAUAUUUUGACUGUUGUGCAGUAAUGCCAUUUAGGUAGUAUUGUUUCCGAGCAUGGUGCUUUUUAUACUUGAAAUAUAUUUUUGCUUUAUUUUUUAUUGAUAUAAUUAUAUUUGCACUAAUGACUUUCUGAAGAAAAUAUUAUAGAUGACAUUUUUUCUAUAUAUAUUUAUUAAGCUUGGAAUCUGAUACCCUAGUGUUUUCUCUGCACAAAUAAGGGAUUUGAUGAAGUACGAGGCUAAGAAAUCCUGACUUUCUGAGGGUAACUAAUGGCUCCUGUGUCUUCCUUCCUCUUCAACGAGUCUUGAGAGUGGUUGCUGAUCACCGAUUCUUCCUAGUGUACUCCUUGAAGACUUAGAAGGCCACUGAACCUGUAAGAAAUAUUAAGGGGAACAUUUGAGUCACUUAGAAUAUGACCAUGUUCUAAAAACAAACUUAAAAUCUGAGAUUUUAAUGCAGAAUUAGUAGGCUAGAAUUCAUCUUUGAACUGAAGAAUUUGAAAUGGCCUAAAUGUUGGUAUCCUGUGGCAGGAUGCCCUUUAUGUUAACAAAAGUGGUUCACUGAGAAGACUAGCAGGCUGCGGCCACUGGUGGAAGUGAGGUGGGAGGAGAAGGAGGAGUGGCUGAUCUGGGGACAGACAGUAGAGUCUCUGACUCAAAAAGUGUGGAGUGCAUAUAAAAACUGACUAGACUACCUCAGUUUUCAGUUCAGAUUUAGGUUCAUUUUGAUAGUAUUAAUGUCCCAGUUGUCAAUAACAAAUGAAUUUGUUUCUCAGGUUUUCAAGAACAGAAUUUACAGGAAGGCAGCAAAAGCCAUGUAGGCAGACUUAAGCUGACAGCUUUAAAGAAACUGGCAAGCAGUUAGGGUAGUCUUAAUGUAGACCCCUCUAAUAUUCUCCUGAAGAACGUCCUUUUCCCUUACUUACUUCUUAAGGAUAUUUAUUUUUGUUAAGUCCAAAUAGACAUUCUUAAAAUGUUAUAAAUUAUGCUUGAAAUUAGCUUCAGCCUAGUAUGUUGGCUUAGAGUUUAUCAAUAUUUGAAGAUGAAACAAAUUAAUGAAGUUUAAGUGACUUUAGGAAGAUAUAUAAAUAUACCUGAGUAUUCUAUAAAAUUUAGUCAAUAUUCUCCUCAAUAUUAUAGAAGACUUACUGAAUGAGAUGAACUGUAAAAUGACUAGCUGCUUUCUCAGAGUCUUUCAACUCUAAUAUUCUAUGACUAACACUCAUCCAGACUCGGUAGGUCAUUGCUGGCUCUGAUUGCGUCCUGGAGUAUGCCAGCUUGCACAUCAUGUUCAUCACAGUGUCUUGUGCUCAGUGCCGUAGCGCUGUCCGUGUCCUUGGACAUUGAGUGGUGAGAGAAGAGCCAUCUCUGAGGGCAUUUGAGCAGUCCUGGUAGAGGAGAUGGACAGUGGUCAGUGACAGCCUCACAGACCCUUUUCACAGUGGGCACUAGUCAUUCAUGCCAUGUCCUUGCAGCCCUGGCUGGAGGAUGAAUAUAUUUUAAUAACGUCUGUGCUACUCAUUCUGAAGAAAGAAAUAACCUGAAAGGAUGACUUUUUUUUUUUUUUAAUACAGUCAGGAUAGGGAAAGAAAUGGUAAAUUAUUUUCUUUUAUGUUUACAUUUUUGAUAAAUGAAAUAGAAGAUUUGAGAACUAAUCUUUAUUUGUGUUAUUGAACUUUACGUGUAAUGUAUUCCUUAGUAAAAAAAAAACAAAAAACAAAAAACAAAAAAA
rnacentral:lncRNA from 1 species